GACGAACGCUGGCGGCGUGCCUAAUACAUGCAAGUAGAACGCACAGGAUGCACCGUAGUUUACUACACCGUAUUCUGUGAGUUGCGAACGGGUGAGUAACGCGUAGGUAACCUGCCUGGUAGUGGGGGAUAACUAUUGGAAACGAUAGCUAAUACCGCAUAAGAACAUUUACUGCAUGGUAGAUGUUUAAAAGGUGCAAAAGCAUCACUACCAGAUGGACCCGCGUUGUAUUAGCUAGUUGGUGAGGUAACGGCUCACCAAGGCAACGAUACAUAGCCGACCUGAGAGGGUGAUCGGCCACACUGGGACUGAGACACGGCCCAGACUCCUACGGGAGGCAGCAGUAGGGAAUCUUCGGCAAUGGGGGGAACCCUGACCGAGCAACGCCGCGUGAGUGAAGAAGGUUUUCGGAUCGUAAAGCUCUGUUGUUAAGGAAGAACGUGUGUGAGAGUGGAAAGUUCACACAGGG
rnacentral:rRNA from 1 species